rnacentral:rRNA from 1 species
UACGUAGGGUGCGAGCGUUAAUCGGAAUUACUGGGCGUAAAGUGUGCGCAGGUGGCCGCGCAAGUCGAGUGUGAAAUCCCCGGGCUUAACUUGGGAAUUGCGCUCGAAACUACGUGGCUCGAGUGUGGCAGAGGGGGGUGGAAUUCCACGUGUAGCGGUGAAAUGCGUAGAGAUGUGGAGGAAUACCAGUGGCGCAAGCGGCGCUCUGGGUCACAUCUGACACUGAGACGCGAAGGCAUGGGGAGCGAACGGG